rnacentral:rRNA from 1 species
GGAGGGUGCAAGCGUUAAUCGCAAUUACUGGGCGUAAAGCGCACGCAGGCGGUUUGUUAAGUCAGAUGUGAAAUCCCCGGGCUCAACCUGGGAACUGCAUUUGAAACUGGCAUGCUUGUGUCUUGUAGAGGGGGGUAGAAUUCCAGGUGUAGCGGUGAAAUGCGUAGAGAUCUGGAGKAAUACCGGUGKCGAAGGCGGCCCCCUGGACAAAGACUGACGCUCAGGUGCGAAAGCGUGGGGAGCAAACAGGAUUAGWUACCCUGGUAGUCCACGCCGUAAACGAUGUCGACUUGGAGGUUGUUCCCUUGAGGAGUGGCUUCCGGAGCUAACGCGUUAAGUCGACCCCCUGGGGAGUACGGCCGCAAGGUUA